rnacentral:rRNA from 1 species
UUCGGUGAUGAUGGCAGAGAGGUCACACCCGUCCCCAUUCCGAACACGGAGGUUAAGCACUCUGGAGCCAGUGGGCGUUGGGACCUUGUCCCUGCGAGAGUAGGCCGUCGCCA